rnacentral:rRNA from 1 species
AGACAGGUGGUGCAUGGUUGUCGGUCAGCUCGUGUCGUGAGAUGUUGGGUUAAGUCCCGCAACGAGCGCAACCCUUAUUGCUAGUUACCAUCAUUCAGUUGGGGACUCUAGCGAGACUGCCAGUGAUAAACUGGAGGAAGGUGGGGAUGACGUCAAAUCAUCAUGCCCCUUAUGACCUGGGCUACAAACGUGAUACAAUGGCUGAAACAAAGGGCAGCGAAGCAGUGAUGUGGAGCGAAACCAAAAAGCAGUCUCAGUUCGGAUUGAAGUCUGCAACUCGCCUGCAUGAAGCCGGAGUUGCUAGUAAUCGCGAACCAGCAUGUCGCGGUGAAUACGUUCCCGGGCCUU